UAACAACGGAACAGCUAUUCGGUAAUAUAUGCCGAAUAAAUGAAUUUUUAAAAUAUAUUUCGAUGAAAAUCGGACAAGAGCGCGCAGAAGAACGCAGAAGAGAUGCCUUUAAAUGCCAUGUCUAUUGUGGCUGAGAGAAUAUUACAAUAAGAACCAGAAAUGAUAUGGAACGUUUUCAGAAGUCUAUACUACACACCUGUAACGUUUAACCAGUCAAAAAGUUUCGCUACUCAAUAAAGGAGACUCAACAUUUGACGAGAAAUCCUCACUAGUC
rnacentral:lncRNA from 1 species